UAUUGGUCAAUGGACGUAAGUCUGAACCAGCCAUGCCGCGUGCAGGAUGACAGCCCUACGGGUUGUAAACUGCUUUUGUACGGGAAAAAUUCCCUGGUCGUGUACCAGGGUUGAUGGUACCGUAAGAAUAAGCAUCGGCUAACUCCGUGCCAGCAGCCGCGGUAAUACGGAGGAUGCAAGCGUUAUCCGGAUUUAUUGGGUUUAAAGGGUGCGCAGGCGGAAUGAUAAGUCAGUGGUGAAAUCCUACGGCUCAACUGUAGAACUGCCAUUGAUACUGUUGUUCUUGAGUACAUUUGUAGUGAGCGGAAUGUGUCAUGUAGCGGUGAAAUGCUUAGAGAUGACACAGAACACCGAUCGCGAAGGCAGCUCACUAAGCUGUAACUGACGCUGAGGCACGAAAGCGUGGGGAUCAAACAGGAUUAGAUACCCUGGUAGUCCACGCUGUAAACGAUGAUCACUCGAUGUUGGCGAUACACUGUCAGCGUCCAAGCGAAAGCAUUAAGUGAUCCACCUGGGGAGUACGGUCGCAAGAUUG
rnacentral:rRNA from 1 species